UACGACAGGAUGUGACAUGAAAAUAACAAGGCACAAAAAAAUACAUUGCACGUUAGGUCUAUUCAUAUACCUUGUCUAUGUCCAUAGUCAUCGCCAUCUUGCCGCAACUUGUAGCUAAUACACAUUUCGAUGCUAUAAAUUGAUCAAUUUGCAACCUGCGUUAUUCCAAAGAACAAGCAAAACAUUACAAUUUCAAUGGCCUCUAUCUCUACAACAGAAUGUUUGGACAAAUACAUAAUAAACAACAGAAAAAGGGCAAAUGCAGUAUCUUGACAUUGUGAGUUUCUUCUUAUGCUGGAGGAAAUGGACAGAUAAAGAAGCCAAGGCAACGGCUGCAAAAAUAAAUGCUCAACGUACACUUAUUCAUAUACCAAUUGCUACAAGUAAUAAAAUAAAAAAAAUACAAUCACAAGUUGAAAAUAAAUUCAAAACACAAACUAGAAUAA